rnacentral:rRNA from 1 species
GAUGAACGCUGGCGGCGUGCCUAAUACAUGCAAGUCGAGCGAACAGACGAGGAGCUUGCUCCUCUGACGUUAGCGGCGGACGGGUGAGUAACACGUGGAUAACCUACCUAUAAGACUGGGAUAACUUCGGGAAACCGGAGCUAAUACCGGAUAAUAUAUUGAACCGCAUGGUUCAAUAGUGAAAGACGGUUUUGCUGUCACUUAUAGAUGGAUCCGCGCCGCAUUAGCUAGUUGGUAAGGUAACGGCUUACCAAGGCAACGAUGCGUAGCCGACCUGAGAGGGUGAUCGGCCACACUGGAACGGAGACACGGUCCAGACUCCUACGGGAGGCAGCAGUAGGGAAUCUUCCGCAAUGGGCGAAAGCCUGACGGAGCAGCGCCGCGUGAGUGAUGAAGGUCUUCGGAUCGUAAAACUCUGUUAUUAGGGAAGAACAAAUGUGUAAGUAACUAUGCACGUCUUGACGGUACCUAAUCAGAAAGCCACGGCUAACUACGUG